CUUGACCAAAUAUAAGAGGUCCAGCCUGCCCACUGACAUAGUUUAACGGCCGCGGUACCCUAACCGUGCGAAGGUAGCAUAAUCACUUGUUCUUUAAAUAAGGACUUGUAUCAACGGCAUCACGAGGACUAUACUGUCUCCUUUCUCCAAUCAGUGAAACUGAUCUCCCCGUGAAGAAGCGGGGAUUAACCUAUAAGACGAGAAGACCCCAUGGAGCUUAAAGCCCACAAACACCUCUGCGCACUUAAACCAAUUUAGCCUAAGAGACCUGUGAGCCAGCUUUAGGUUGGGGGGACCGCGGAGAAAAACCUAACCUCCACGACAAACGGGCAAACGCCCUAAUCCAUGAAUCACAAUUCUAAGAAUCAAUAAACUGAUGUUUAAUGACCCGAUUAUUCGAUCAACGAACCA
rnacentral:rRNA from 1 species